UUACGGCCAUAUCAUUUUGGUGCCUGAACGAUCAUCGAAGUUAAGCAACGUCGAGCCUAGUCAGUACCUAGUUGGGUGACCACCUGGAAAUACCAGGUGAUGUAA